CUUUGAGUCAGGUUCCAUGGUAAAGCACAGAGGUAGGUGAGGUAUGAAAACAUCCCGUAACUGACCCAUAAGAACUUUUGAUACUUCCUCUUGUUGGCUGGAACGUUUCCACAUAGGUCAAAAAGAGGAAAGGAGAAAGUCCCAGGUCGCCAGUGGUUGUAGAGCUUGGAACAACCUCCAUAUACAGAGAACAUAAAGUCCUUUGACUCAGGACAAAAUGGAAGCUGAAAGUUCCUUAAAGAGGCUGCCUAAUUGACACUCUCAUCAGUCACCAAUAAAAGGGAAGGCGUGGCAGAAGACUCGAGGAUGUCAGAAAGAAGCACAACCUGAGUAGAGGUGAGGCAGAGACCAGGGUUGCCCAAGGUCAUGGCAAGAGACGAGGUGGAGGGAGCCCUCCCUUUCUGACUGCUGGCUCAGUGGUCAGUCCACGCUGACCAAAAGAGGCUGCUUGUACUAUGCAAGUAAAAUAUGAACGCCCAGGUUGUUGGGGAGCAAGAAGACACUCCGAAUACGAGGUGGAAAGGGGGAGCCGGGAGCAGGAGAAACCGGACUUCCCUUUUAUGUGUUGCUUCAUGCCUCUGCUGGUGAACAGCAGGAGGAGAGAGAAAUGGCUGACUCCAAACCCACAGUUCCUGCCCUGGAGGUUUGUUUUGACGUCUGAGGCGAAGAGAUCUUCCCAGGAGGAGGCCGAGGGAACACUACAGGCGAAAUGGCACCCUACCCUCAUGUCAACAGCCUCUCGAUUUAGCUGAUGACCGUUUUUGUCUCAUCCAAGAAAACUUCAGAGUCGGUCUAUGCACCCACUCUCCCAACCCACCCAGCCAGCCAGGAUGCUCUUCUGGAGCUAGCCCAGCUGACAGAAUCAGAGCAAACCACCCCCUGGAGGACACUCCGGAGGUCAUCGCAGCCAGCCCCCUGCCUCCAGGCAGGUCUCCCAUAAAUCGUCCUCGACAGAGACUGCCUCGUUGGAGGCCCUUUGCUCGGAGCACCCUGAGCAGCUGAGUAAAGUUUUGUGCUGACUCCGUAG
rnacentral:lncRNA from 1 species